rnacentral:rRNA from 1 species
GACGAACGCUGGCGGCGUGCUUAACACAUGCAAGUCGAACGAUGAAGCUGGAGCUUGCUCCGGUGGAUUAGUGGCGAACGGGUGAGUAGCACGUGAGCAAUCUGCCCUUGACUCUGGGAUAACUGCGGGAAACUGUAGCUAAUACCGGAUACGAGGCUCGAAGGCAUCUUCGGGUCUGGAAAGAAUUUCGGUCAAGGAUGAGCUCGCGGCCUAUCAGCUUGUUGGUGAGGUAAUGGCUCACCAAGGCGACGACGGGUAGCCGGCCUGAGAGGGUGACCGGCCACACUGGGACUGAGACACGGCCCAGACUCCUACGGGAGGCAGCAGUGGGGAAUAUUGCACAACGGGCGAAAGCCUGAUGCAGCAACGCCGCGUGAGGGAUGAAGGCCUUCGGGUUGUAAACCUCUUUUAGCAGGGAAGAAGCGAAAGUGACGGUACCUGCAGAAAAAGCACCGGCUAACUACGUGCCAGCCGCCGCAGUAA